GCGCAGCAGGCGAGAAACCUCCGCAAUACACGAAAGUGUGACGGGGCCAUCCCGAGUGCCGUCCGCUGAGGACGGCUUUUCCCCAGUGUACAUAGCUGGGGAAUAAGGAGAGGGCAAGCCUGGUGUCAGCCGCCGCGGUAAUACCAGCUCUCCGAGUGGUGGGGACGCUUAUUGGGCCUAAAGCAUCCGUAGCCGGCUGGGCAAGUCCUCCGUUAAAUCCAACGAUUCAAUCGUUGGGCUGCGGGGGAUACUGUCCAGCUUGGGGGCGGGAGAGGCCGACGGUAUU
rnacentral:rRNA from 1 species